CCCCUAGAUGUUCUGGGUCGCACGCGCGCUACACUGAACAGUUCAACAAGUCUUAACCUUGGCCGAUAGGUCUGGGUAAUCUUUGAACGCUGUUCGUGAUUGGGAUAGACCUUUGCAAUUAUGGGUCUUCAACGAGGAAUUCCUAGUAAACGCAAGUCAUCAGCUUGCAUUGAUUACGUCCCUGCCCUUUGUACACACCGCCCGUCGCACCUACCGAUUGAAUGGUCCGGUGAAAUCUCGGGACGGCGGCUCGGUCGCUUGCGUCCGACUGCUGAAACUUGAUUAAACCAUAUCAUUUAGAGGAAGGUGAAGUCGUANCA
rnacentral:rRNA from 1 species